rnacentral:rRNA from 1 species
AGAGUUUGAUCAUGGCUCAGAGUGAACGCUGGCGGCAGGCCUAACACAUGCAAGUCGAGCGGCAGCGCGGGGCAACCUGGCGGCGAGCGGCGGACGGGUGAGGAAUACAUCGGAAUCUACCCUGUCGUGGGGGAUAACGUAGGGAAACUUACGCUAAUACCGCAUACGACCUGAGGGUGAAAGCAGGGGACCGCAAGGCCUUGCGCGACUGGAUGAGCCGAUGUCCGAUUAGCUAGUUGGUGAGGUAACGGCUCACCAAGGCGACGAUCCGUAGCUGGUCUGAGAGGACGGCCAGCCACACUGGGACUGAGACACGGCCCAGACUCCUACGGGAGGCAGCAGUGGGGAAUAUUGGACAAUGGGCGAAAGCCUGAUCCAGCGACGCCGCGUGUGUGAAGAAGGCCUGCGGGUUGUAAAGCCUUUCGAUGGGAACGAAAUGUGCCGGGCUAAUACCCCGGCAAGCUGACGUUACUCAAUGAAGAAGCACCGGCUAACUCUGU